CUUGUUGGUGAGGUAAUGGCUUACCAAGGCAAUGAUCAGUAGCUGGUCUGAGAGGAUGAUCAGCCACACUGGGACUGAGACACGGCCCAGACUCCUACGGGAGGCAGCAGUGAGGAAUUUUCCGCAAUGGGCGACAGCCUGACGGAGCAAUGCCGCGUGAAGGAUGAAGGCCUAUGGGUUGUAAACUUCUUUUCUCAGAGAAGAAGCAUUGACGGUAUCUGAGGAAUAAGCAUCGGCUAACUCUGUGCCAGCAGCCGCGGUAAGACAGAGGAUGCAAGCGUUAUCCGGAAUGAUUGGGCGUAAAGCGUCUGUAGGUGGCUUAAAAAGUCUCCUGUCAAAGAUCAGGGCUUAACCCUGGGCCGGCAGGAGAAACUCUUAGGCUAGAGUUUGGUAGGGGCAGAGGGAAUUCCCGGUGGAGCGGUGA
rnacentral:rRNA from 1 species